AAAACGUGGUGUUAUACACCGAGUGCUGGGAGGUAGGGAAAGGUGGAACUUGAGGGUUCUCGGGCUCGCCAGCUUGGCCUAAUUAGUUGAUCUUCAGUGACUUUCAAAUAACGUGGCUGGUUCCUUGAGUGACAGCUGAGGUUGACCUCUGGCCUCCACAGCACCUGACUUGUGCUCACGCAUACACUUACACAUAUACAUGUACGCACACACGAAGACUGAAACCAAAGCAGCCGUGAUGGCCAAUGACAAGCUACCAAUUAUCUACUUGGUGAGUCACACCUAAUGAAACUGGCUUUACAUGUGAAUUUAUUGUUACUCAACAAAUUCUGACACUAAGAAAGAACGCGCCACGUCUGGGACACGGUGUAGGGUCGCCAGAGCCAGCGCAGAAAUGUUUAAGGCAGCUUGGGCUGCAUGUAUGUUUUCUGGUCAGCCUGAUCUACACAAGGGGGGACAUCAUCCAGAAACACAAAAGGUCCUCCUUGAGAGUUCAUGUUUGUAAGGAUUUAUUUUACCUACCUUUCUCCUCAGUAUGCCUUCAACAAGGUAUGAAUGACUUUCAGAAACCGGGGUUCAUAUUAUGGUCCCCAACUCGGGAAUUUCCUACCACACCUCUGAAAGGUUGGGAUUACUGGCGCUCACAACCACGCCAGCCGCCUACAGCCUCACUUUAAAUUAAAAAACGGCAAACGAAAGUCUUUGGAGGAAUCUCACUCAGACCAGUCAACACUGAGAGCUAGACAGGUCUCUAGUUGCCGUCGCACCCCGCCCCACUUCCUGUUGUGCACACCCACCGGUGCCACGCAAAGUGCCACCGCCCACCCUUUCAGUCCCGCAGCCGUGCAGUGGUUCGGUGGCUGCGCUUUCUCAGGAGGCCCGAAGACCGGUCGCGAUACUCUAUGCGGACUCGCCGGGGUCGUGAUACUCUGCAGAGCAACUUCUGGCCAUCCUACCCCGUGGAGCUCCCGCGAGACCUCGCGCCGGGGUAAACUCGGUUCCGCUCGAGUGCUGGGCGGCCGGACCGGAAGGGCGGGCUUUGGAUGCGCGGCUCUCCAAUUCUGCCUUCCGUAGGCGCCGCGCUCGACGGCCUAGCCAAUCGCAGGUCACAUCGUGUCGCAGCAGCCAAUCGGAGAGGCCCGGAGCCUCUCAGACGCGCGGUGGGUCUUUGCUUCUUCCUACUCUGAACUUCUUUUGUUAGAGCUCUGUGGAUUCUGUGGCCUGUUUGUUUCUCCGUGCAAUCCGACGCCAUCGCGUUUUUGGCGAGCGCUGUAAUGGAUAGUAGAGAGGCUGGAAUCGACCCGAUGCCGAGCUGGCUUUGGCGAUGGUGGCGCGCGCUCCGGAGGACCGAUUGGAGAACGACACCAGGAGACGGCUCACUGAUGCGGAGGUGACGCAGGAGCUUUUGGUGUGUCUUGGCUCUAGCAUGUGAUAACACAGGAGCUUUACCGAGGAUGUCCCGGAAUCUUAAUUUAGCGAAUCUUUCUGAAGACGUUUUGCCUCGAUGAGGGAGUUCAUGAAAGAAGGGAUCGUGUUAAGGGUGGUGUCUGGAAGAGAUGUGUGGCGUUGGAAGAUGAUACGAAAUACAUAGAAAAGGAAAGAAAAGGAUGUUUUGCUUAAGAGUAUGCCAAUUGCAAAUUUAUUCAAUAAUUUGAAGAUUAUAUAAGGGCCCGUUCAGGAAGGGGCGUUUCUCCUGCUCUAAGAAAGUGCUCUUCGCACAGCCUGAUGGCCUGAACUAAUUCCUGGAGCCCACGAGGUGGAAGAGAGCGGACUCCUGAAAGUUAUCUUCAGAUCACAUACACAAUAAGAAAAUAAGUGUAAAUUUUACAAAUCAAAAUAGUGAUUAAAACAUUAGAGUGCUGUUUUACUGAAAUGUAAACGUGAUGCAAGUGAUUGUGGAACAUCUGGAUGCUUUGUAUAGUUUUGUACAGAACUUUACUCUUUUCCGAAAUAAGAAAGGGAGGAAAAUUGUCAAAGGAAUCGAACUCACUGUAAAUCUUUUUCUUUUGCAAAGAAAGAGUUAUUUGUAAUGGUAUUUUGCAGUGCCCUCAGAUCAGAUAAAGCUGGAGUUACAGUGGUGAGCGCUGUAAGCUGAACUCUGGAAGAGCGAGUACUGAGUCAUCUCUCCUGCCCAACUUUUUGUGGCUAUGAAUGUGAAAUCUUUUGCAUUUUAGAGAAAAAGCAAGAGUAAGAUGUGCCAUAUUGGAAUAUUAUGGCUGCCAAUCAAAAUGAAUUGUUGCUUUCUGAUAGAGUGCUAGCCUAGUCCUUGUUUAAACAUUUCAGAAGCUGUGCCCAAUAAAAGAGCCAGUUUGUCCUUGCAGAUCCAACUGUGCUGCUGUCUGACUUGUGCUUCAUUUGUAGUAUACAAUAAACAUUGUUUUCGACUGUUCUGAA